UACGAAGGGGGCUAGCGUUGCUCGGAAUCACUGGGCGUAAAGGGUGCGUAGGCGGGUCUUUAAGUCAGGGGUGAAAUCCUGGAGCUCAACUCCAGAACUGCCUUUGAUACUGAAGAUCUUGAGUUCGGGAGAGGUGAGUGGAACUGCGAGUGUAGAGGUGAAAUGCGUAGAUAUCUGGAGGAACACCGGUGGCGAAGGCGACAUCCUGGACCGGUAUUGACGCUGAGGCGCGAAAGCCAGGGGAGCAAACGGG
rnacentral:rRNA from 1 species